AAGUAAGCAUGUCAAUUGAAACAUAUGUAGUAAUUUAUUUAAUAAAAGAAAAAAAAAUAAAUAAAUAAAUAAAUAAAUAUUCAACUAAAGAUGGAGAGAUGCGCUGCACAGUUGAUUAUUUUGCAUCACUUGCCAAAGAUGAACACUACUACUACUACUAAUAAAACCUGUACUCAGAAGGCACUUUGAUAAUAAGCUCAUGUACUGUAACUAGAUACCUUUAUUAUAAUUUAUUGCAAUUUAGCCAUAACAGUUAAUCUGUUACAGUGUGGAUUAAUUAUGUCCUUUGUAAUUAGUUAUGUCCCAUUUUUGUUGAUAAAUGUUUGUGGAUUGAUGGAUGGAUAGGUACGUAGGUAGAUAAGCAGCAGGAAAUUAUGUAAUGACGCGCCAGAUAUAACAAAGCAGUUUUUUUUCUGCACUCAUGACCUUAACCGAGGAUAUUUUUAUAAAAAAAAAAAAAAAAAAAGGACAUUUCAGGAUGUUCUUUUACACAGGAUACAGGAAAUGAAGGAUGAAAAGUGGCCUGCUUAUUAAUUGGUGUUUUUAUGCAUUUGGACAUCCUACAGGAGUGUGUAAUUCUCACCAGUUUAGUGCAGGUCAUAAAAUCCUCCAUUGCCACGCUUCAAAGACAUGGUUUACUUUUUACUUGUUUUGCAUACUGCAGAAGGAUUUAAGCUAUUUACAAAUUUUUUGCAGUUAAUCGGUGCAAGAUCUGUCAAAAUAUUGAACAAAUAAAGUAAUGAACAUUAACGAUAAGGAACAAUAAUCCGAGGAAAAUUAAUCUCUUCAGAGAUUCAUAGUCUUCAACAAUAGUAAUCAAAAAUGUUUGCAUAAAAAUAUAAUUAACAUCCUUAAUUCUAUUGUUAUCAUUUACCACCAAAUAAUUAACAAAUAUUGAACUGACGUUUGGACAGAAACGUACAUAAAAUGUAGAGAGCACAACUGCCAAUGCUGUCGGAGUCGGAGGGCCAAACCAAUUAUAGGUUAUCUGUGAGAAAGAGGUUGUAUAGUACUUUCUUCUGAGUGUGUAUACUUUAUGCACAGUACUUUCACACCACCCUGUGAAAUAGCAGGAGCAGCAAUUUUACAAGAUGUGAUUGGCUUCAUCUACCCCAGGUCACAUGUCUCAAAUGGUUGGUAGUUGUAUGAUAUGAAGAGAAGAUUUGACUUGAUAGGUCUGAUGUAUUGAAGCUCUACCCAGGUCCAGGUUACAGAAACUUUUUUCCCAACAAAGUACAUGUUUUAUUAAAACUAAAUCAGUUAUUCAACGGGUAAAAAAGAUUUGAUAAAGAAAAGUAUAAAGUCUGGUGAAUUUCAUUUCAUAUUUGUGGUGUAACUGAAUUCAAAAUAAAUGCCUUUGAGUUUGUGAGUGGUAUGUGUGUGUCUGUCUGUCUGCCUCAAAAUGGAGUCACAUUUCUUGGUGUUCUGAUGUGGAGGUCACAUAUAGCUGUAUAGGUAUUUCCCGGCAUGUGAACAGACUUUGUACUCCAUAUAGCCCCCUCGUCUCCUGACACAUCAAUAGAUAGAAUUCAGAACAAUUUACACCAGCCCACAUGUAUGAAAUGUUAUGAAUAGUUAGUUAUGAUGAUAAACAGGUGACAUAUCUUUCAUAUCUGAACAUUCUGACACAUCCUAUGUGAAACUAUUUAAGCUGGAUGUUCCCUUCAUUGCUCUUUAAUUUAUGGAGAAACUGAUCUCUUUCUGGAGCUUGGAUUAUGUAUUCUGGAUAUGACAGAAUGACUAAAUAUGACUGAUGAAUGAUAAAUGGACUAGUAAGUGUGUACAGUUUUGUUUUUUUAAGUUCCAAAUACAGUAAAAUUCUUGUAGGUGGUUUUUUACACAGACUGCAUGAUGCUGGCUACAUUAGUCAAUAGCCGUGUCCAAUAUGACCGUGUCACACACCUCACUUGUAGUGUUGUUUGAUGGCAUUUAGUUUUAUAGUAAAUCUUGUUCUUGCUAUUGCUCUUGGUCGCUUGGUACAUAAUAAAGAAACCACCUACACCCUGGACACAAUGUAUCCUUGGAGUAAUAAAGAAUAAUUAUCUCUUUCAUUUAUAUUUUAUAUCUGUAUGCAGUUAUAUUUUGGAUGGUGAUGUUUUGGCUAGAAAGAUUAAAAAUAGUAAAACCCACAUUGGGGACAAUGAACUAAAACCAUCACUUUCAGACUGGAUUCUGGGACAUUUCACAGUUUUUUUUUUUUUUAGAUUGUGCUAAAGCAGUUGUACUUUUGCCUCUUCCAAUGCCUCAUUUUAGACCAUGCAACACCCAUAUCAGCCCAACAUUUCCCUAAUCAUAAGUAAGUUUAUUAAAUAUUUUAGAUCACAAUAAAAUUUAUACACAACUGUAACAGGAGUGCAGUAUAUAUAGGAUUCUAAACUGUGUUUCUUUCCUGAUUUUCUCUUUUUUUUUCCUCUUGCUGUCUAGUGUUGCAGGAACUGCAUGCCACUUCUGCAGCUCAGUCUGCAUGCCAGACUGUGUACGUGAGAUUACAGUGAGGACGUGAUGAGAUCUGUACUGUUACUAGGGCAGAGCUCUGUCUGUGUCUGUGUGUGUGUGUGUGUGUGUGUGUGUGUGUGUGUAGUUCACUGUCCUACACUUACUUCAGUGAUGGAAACAUCAUGCACAGUGACAUGCUUUCAAGUCCAAAUAGGGAAAUAUGAAGAUUGUCAUAAUUUUAAAGCUCCAGUUGGAAAACAUCAACAGCAGCCUUUGAACAAUAAGAUAUCAGAAAAAACCUGAGUGCCGAAGAUAGAAUAAACACGUAAACAUAAAACUGAUGAAUAUUUGCAUGAGCUCUGUUUACAAUUUGACAGUGAGGCAUCGUUUAAAGUCUAUUUUCAGUCUUUAUCUGGGUCACUGAUGUGAGCAGCUGUUAGCAAAGCUGCCAGACUGGAUUAUUCUGGAUCAUUCUAAAGACAGCAGUUUACGCUCCAUACCAGGAGGACUGCCAGCUUUUAUGGCAAGAAAUUCUGGACCGAUCAUUUCUACAUUUGUUUAGAAUUAGAUUUUUCUCCUUUUUUUCCUGUAGAUGUAUCCUGUGUUUCGAGGUCUUACUUGCAAUAUGUACUUAUGUUAAUAAUGUGCUUUGUUUGAAAUGUCCUUGUGUUGCUUCCCAUUAGAAAGGCUUUUUAAACCCAAAUUGUGGUUAAAUAUUUCAUUUAAAAUCAAGGCCCAGUGAAUAGUGCAGUAAAUGUAAGAUCUCCCAUGAAGGCAAAUGUUUGAGCUCGGACAUGACACAACAAAUAGAACUGUUAAAUAUAGAACAGGGAAACAGGAGAUGAUAAAGAUUUAGCCUGAUGCAUUUCAACGACAGGACAUCUUUGAAAACAGCAUUACAACAUUUCAUGAGCAACUUCCAAUGCCCUGAGUCACUGAAAAAUAAUAAGAAGUCUCAUAAUUCACCUUUACAGUAACCUAUAAGUUUCAAAAAUAAUAAUAAUAAAGCUUGACAUUCCACAAAAUGCAUCAUUAUAUAAAAACAAAAGAGAAAUGGCAAAACGUUUCCUGUUCUGAAAUAAUCCAGAUGAAUCGAAUAUGCAAAUUGGAAACGCCUCCAACCCUACAUGCCCAGCCCUUUUUGUCUUUUGCAUAACCUGCUUUUAUCACACAGUAAUGCUGUUCUGCUACAUGUUUAGUCUGAUCGUUUUCAAAUGAUUAUAAAAAGCAUUUCAAUAUUAAAGAUGAUGUGAAAGCAGUUAUGAUAGUAUGAUAGUACUUAUAUUAAUUAUUUGAAAUUGUUUAUGUUGCUGUUACAUCAAAUUCAGUGGUAAUGCCCCUGUGCUUUUAAUGCAGAAUGCACAAUGAGAUCUAAUUCUGCCACUGCCAUUAGUUUUUUUUUUUUUCCGAAAAAUGGAAAUAAGCCGUAGAAUUCAUCAAUUUAAUUCUGUCCAAAUAUAACACAUAAACAUUCAGUGGCACAUACACAGAGAACUUAAUUCCUUUUGGCAGUAGUCUUUGAUAAUUUCUCAGUGACAUGAGGACCUGGGAGGUGCUUCAUCAUCAGAGUACUUUUAGGGAGAGAAGUUUUGCAGAGCGCAGUGCGACACAGAGUUCUGCACAAGAUAAGAGAGAAUAGAAAACAAAAGAAGCAAGAAGAUUUCUGUUUCUUAACAACACAUUGAUCUGAGAAGCCUUUUCAGCAGGUAAACAGUCACCUGUCCAGAAGUGUCCCUGCCCCACCCCUCAUCUGGGAGAGAUGGACCGAUCUACACAGGAGCUCUUUCUGAACUUCAUGAUUGUGCUGAUCACAGUUCUGCUCAUGUGGCUGCUUGUCAGAUCCUAUCAGGAGGCAUGAACUGUUCA